AAAUAUCUUGAUGCGGGACUCUUCCGAGGCCUCGCAAUCAGGAUGCGUUUACUUUAAAGCAGUAAACUGAACGCAAUUGGAGGGCAAGUCUGGUGCCAGCAGCCGCGGUAAUUCCAGCUCCAAUAGCGUAUAUUUAAGUUGCUGCGGUUAAAAAGCUCGUAGUUGGACUUUAUACUCAGGCAGCCAGUCCUCUUUCGAUAUAUUCUUUCCUGUAUGGCGGACUUGGCCGGUGGUUCGUUGGCGCUCAUUUGGCUCAUCAACUCUUAUUAGUGUCAAAACGAAAGGAGGAGUCAUACUUGCCCAUCGGGCUCGGUGUUUGAUCCCGUUUGGUUAGAUUAAUUUUUCGUUAGAGGUUCUUACUGCGUCUGUGACUGAGUGUAUAUGAGACCGUCGAUUCACACUUUUUCGAAAUAAUCUAUAAUUGUUCAUGGUGCAAUUGAGUUUGUGUCCGUAGCAGUAUAAGGUACAUUCGUUCACAUAAAAGUUGUCGACUCUAUCACUUUGAAAAAAUUAGAGUGCUCAAAGCAGGCCUCAUUGCAUAAUUGCCUGAAUGGUAGUGCAUGGAAUGAUGGAAGAUGAUCUCUACCUCGUUAAGCUUAAGGGCAUCAAUUUAACAUUGUGUUUUUAUCUUUGCACCAGGUGGACAGGUACGGAUAAAGAUUCGAGGUUUGAGAUAAUGAUUAAAGGGAACUGCCGGGGGCGUUUGUAUUACGGCGCUAGAGGUGAAAUUCUUGGACCGUCGUAAGACAAACUACUGCGAAAGCAUUCGCCAAGAAUGUUUUCAUUAAUCAAGAACGAAAGUUAGAGUUUAGAAGGAGAUCAGAUACCUCCCUAUUUCUAACCGUAAACUAUGCUAACCGGUUGUCCGUCGGAAGUCAUUUCCGAGACUGGACGAGCGACCCCAGGGAAACCAG
rnacentral:rRNA from 1 species